UACGGGGGGGGCAAGCGUUGUUCGGAAUUACUGGGCGUAAAGGGCUCGUAGGCGGCCAACUAAGUCAGACGUGAAAUCCCUCGGCUUAACCGGGGAACUGCGUCUGAUACUGGAUGGCUUGAGUUUGGGAGAGGGAUGCGGAAUUCCAGGUGUAGCGGUGAAAUGCGUAGAUAUCGUAAGGAAGACCAGUGGCGAAGGCGGGUCUCUGGACAGUUCCUGACGCUGAGGCACGAAGGUCAGGGGGAGCAAACGGG
rnacentral:rRNA from 1 species